AGAGAGAGAGAGAGACGGCAGCUUUCCCGCGAGUGGGCGUGGUUUCAGCGCAGACAGCGGACACGCCCCCAGCAUUUGAGAGCA